AAGAUGGCGGCGCACAAGUCAGGUCCGGCACAUGUUUCCGCGGAGCGGACCCAGCAAUGACGGAUGAUAUCACCUCUUCUUCUCUGGUGAGAGUCUGAGGAUAGAGACUUUUUUCUCACCAUGAAUGUCACCCCAGAGGUCAAGAGUCGUGGGAUGAAGUUUGCUGAGGAGCAGCUGCUAAAGCAUGGAUGGACUCAAGGCAAAGGCCUCGGCCGGAAGGAGAAUGGUAUCACUCAGGCUCUCAGGGUGACACUGAAGCAAGACACUCAUGGGGUAGGACAUGACCCUGCCAAGGAGUUCACAAACCACUGGUGGAAUGAGCUCUUCAACAAGACUGCGGCCAACUUGGUAGUGGAAACUGGGCAGGUAUGAGCUCUUGAUAGAUGGGCACAUGAAACAGAGGGCCUGGGACCUGUGGCGUAGGCAGUCAUGAUAUGUCACCCAUUCACUGGUACUGAUAAUUCUCUACAGGAUGGAGUACAGAUAAGGAGCCUUUCUAAGGAGACCACCCGUUAUAAUCAUCCCAAGCCCAACUUGCUGUAUCAGAAGUUUGUGAAGGUAUUAGAGGCUGUGGGUAACAGAGUCCAUCCUUUUUCUCUUCCCUGGUUUCCCUGGGGCCUGAACAGUUGCCUUGUAUGCCUUAUCAAUUCUCA
rnacentral:lncRNA from 1 species